rnacentral:rRNA from 1 species
AGUGAACGCUGGCGGUAGGCCUAACACAUGCAAGUCGAACGGCAGCACAGUAAGCGCUUGCUCUUACGGGUGGCGAGUGGCGGACGGGUGAGGCAUACAUCGGAAUCUACUUUUUCGUGGGGGAUAACGUAGGGAAACUUACGCUAAUACCGCAUACGACCUACGGGUGAAAGCAGGGGAUCUUCGGACCUUGCGCGUUUGAAUGAGCCGAUGUCGGAUUAGCUAGUUGGCGGGGUAAAGGCCCACCAAGGCGACGAUCCGUAGCUGGUCUGAGAGGAUGAUCAGCCACACUGGAACUGAGACACGGUCCAGACUCCUACGGGAGGCAGCAGUGGGGAAUAUUGGACAAUGGGCGCAAGCCUGAUCCAGCCAUACCGCGUGGGUGAAGAAGGCCUUCGGGUUGUAAAGCCCUUUUGUUGGGAAAGAAAAGCAGCAGGUUAAUACCCCGCUGUUCUGACGGUACCCAAAGAAUAAGCACCGGCUAACUUCGUG